rfam:Punica granatum cultivar Dabenzi scaffold532, whole genome shotgun sequence.
GGUCUGAUGCCACGUCGCCGGUAGCGAAAGGGCUAUGACCGGCGAUGCUAUGAUCGGACCGACAGAAAUUCCAUGUUUCGCUGUUGAUAGGAACCUGCGGAUCUCAAUUUACUAAUGGUCUGCGGAGCCGUUUUAUGCGAUUACAUUC